GGGGUUAUAGCUCAAUGGUAGAGCACUUGCCUUGCAUGCGUGAGGCACUGGGUUCAAUCCUCAGUACCA
rnacentral:tRNA from 1 species